rnacentral:tRNA from 3 species
CGGGGUGUAGCGUAGCCCGGUAUCGCGCCACGUUUGGGACGUGGAGGCCGUCAGUUCGAAUCUGGCCACCCCGA